CAGAAUCUUCCAGGAGCCCCAGGCGCAGUUAGGAGGGGGGAUAUCGCGGCGGAAUAAGGAAACCGAGGCACGCAGACACCCCCGCCCCCGGGGGGAGAUUGCAACAAGGGCUCUUGAGCUGACUGCAAGGUGAAGCUUCCAUACAUUGCACAAAAGAUUCCCUCUUCAAUGAGAGAACAAGGUUUGUGUCACCAAACCCAGAGCUUCAUGGUUCCUAGGCGAGGACUCUC
rnacentral:lncRNA from 1 species